UACAACUUUCAGCAACGGAUGUCAUGGCUCCCACAACGAUGAAGAACGCAGCGAAAUGCGAUAUGUAAUGCGAAUUGCAGGACCUCGUGAAUCAUCAAAAUUUUGAACGCACAUUGUGCUUCCAGGAUAUGCCUGGUUGCAUG
rnacentral:rRNA from 1 species